rfam:Ovis aries breed Texel chromosome 2, whole genome shotgun sequence.
UCCCUAGUGGUCCAGUGCUUAGGACACUGUGCUUUCACUGCUGGGGGUCCAGGUUCAAUCCCUGGUUGGGGAA